rnacentral:sRNA from 1 species
GAUGAUGAUGACGUAGUUAUUUAUUGC